GACGAACGCUGGCGGCGUGCCUAAUACAUGCAAGUGGAACGCUGAAGGAGGAGCUUGCUUCUCUGGAUGAGUUGCGAACGGGUGAGUAACGCGUAGGUAACCUGCCUGGUAGCGGGGGAUAACUAUUGGAAACGAUAGCUAAUACCGCAUAAGAGUAGAUGUUGCAUGACAUUUGCUUAAAAGGUGCAAUUGCAUCACUACCAGAUGGACCUGCGUUGUAUUAGCUAGUUGGUGAGGUAACGGCUCACCAAGGCAACGAUACAUAGCCGACCUGAGAGGGUGAGCGGCCACACUGGGACUGGGACACGGCCCAGACUCCUACGGGAGGCAGCAGUAGGGAAUCUUCGGCAAUGGACGGAAGUCUGACCGAGCAACGCCGCGUGAGUGAAGAAGGUUUUCGGAUCGUAAAGCUCUGUUGUAAGAGAAGAACGAGUGUGAGAGUGGAAAGUUCACACUGUGACGGUAUCUUACCAGAAAGGGACGGCUAACUACGUG
rnacentral:rRNA from 1 species